AUUAGAUUGACAUUGGAUAGUUUUGUUGUGAUUUCUUUUAUUGAUGUAAGCCUUCUAAGACACGUGUGAAAUGAUGGGCUAAUUUCUUGUGAUUGUUUGGGAAGCGCAAAUGGCUCUAAAUAUGUUGUUCAAAGAAAGGCCCAGGUUACAUUAUUUACAAGCUAUUGUGGCUACAAUAAUUUUAAUGAUGUAUUUCCACGGCCACUGGUACCUUUAUCUUUGGUCCAUUCAUACUUGUCACCACCAAUGUGGGAGGAUGAUAAUGAUGUGUAAUUUGAGCUCAAAUAGUCUACCUGUGUUCCUUUUCCCUUUUGGGAAAAAAAAUGGUGGUGAAUAUGGGGGAGGGAGUAUGUAAUUUGCCCCUAUCUCAAACCUGUUUUGUUACUAUGAUAAAUGAUUAAUUAGAAUGAAAUGAAAUCUUAUGAACUGCAGUUUAUAAAAUUUGCUUAUUGAUAUA